UACGUAGGGUGCAAGCGUUGUCCGGAAUUAUUGGGCGUCAAGAGCUCGUAGGCGGUUUGUCGCGUCGGCUGUGAAAACCUGGGGCUCAACCCCGGGCCUGCAGCCGAUACGGGCAAACUAGAAUUCGGUAGGGGAGACUGGAAUUCCUGGUGUAGCGGUGAAAUGCGCAGAUAUCAGGAGGAACACCGGUGGCGAAGGCGGGUCUCUGGGCCAUUACUGACACUGAGAAGCGAAAGCAUGGGGAGCGAACAGG
rnacentral:rRNA from 1 species